rnacentral:lncRNA from 1 species
CACAACUGAGUUCAAAUAAUCCAAUCACCUUUCAGACAGAAACAGAUCAAAUGAUUGAUUCUUAUUGUUUGGGUAAUGAAAUUACAACCCCUUCACUGCUGCCAUCUUAUAUAUAUAUAUAUAUAUAUAAAUAAAUUUCCACAAACAGCAGCAGAAAGAUAUAGCAGAGUUGCAGUUUAGAGAGAAGAAAAUGAAAUUUCCUGAAAUUAAUUUACGUUUUACAUACAAAGAGCAAUUUGUAGUACUACUACUGCAACCAGUAGUAGAAGACUGAAACUGUAGUAGCUAUG